rnacentral:rRNA from 1 species
UGAGGAAUAUUGGUCAAUGGGCGGUAGCCUGAACCAGCCAAGUAGCGUGCAGGAUGACGGCCCUAUGGGUUGUAAACUGCUUUUAUGCGGGGAUAAAGUCACUCACGUGUGGGUGUUUGCAGGUACCGCAUGAAUAAGGACCGGCUAAUUCCGUGCCAGCAGCCGCGGUAAUACGGAAGGUCCGGGCGUUAUCCGGAUUUAUUGGGUUUAAAGGGAGUGUAGGCGGCCUGUUAAGCGUGUUGUGAAAUGUAGAUGCUCAACAUCUGAACUGCAGCGCGAACUGGCUGGCGUGAGUACACGCAACGUGGGCGGGAUUCAUGGUGUAGCGGUGAAAUGCUUAGAUAUCAUGAGGAACUCCUAUUGCGAAGGCAGCUCACGCGAGUGUCACUGACGCUUAAGCUCGAAGGUGCGGGUAUCUAACAGG